rnacentral:tRNA from 1 species
GGCGCCAUGGCUUUGUUUGUUAAAGCGCCUGUCUAGUAAACAGGAGAUCCUGAGUUCAACUCUCAAUGGUGCCU